rnacentral:rRNA from 1 species
GCAAGUCGAACGCAAUCUUUGACUAAUGAGUGCUUGCACUCAGCAGUUAAAGUGCGAGUGGCGAACGGGUGAGUAACACGUGGGCAAUCUGCCCAAAAGUGGGGGAUAACACUUGGAAACAGGUGCUAAUACCGCAUCAACCGGCUGACCGCAUGGUCGGCCGGGCAAAGACGGCGUCAGCUGUCGCUUUUGGAUGAGCCCGCGGCGUAUUAACUAGUUGGUAAGGUAACGGCUUACCAAGGUGAUGAUACGUAGCCGAACUGAGAGGUUGAUCGGCCACAUUGGGACUGAGACACGGCCCAAACUCCUACGGGAGGCAGCAGUAGGGAAUCUUCCACAAUGGACGCAAGUCUGAUGGAGCAACGCCGCGUGUAUGAAGAAGGUCUUCGGAUCGUAAAAUACUGUUGUCAGAGAAGAACACGUGAUAGAGUAACUGCUAUGGCGCUGACGGUAUCUGACCAGCAAGUCACGGCUAACUAC